GAAUCGCAUUGUCUCCUCGAUAUUCGAACAUGAUGCGAUGAAGGGAAUAUGGUGCAAAGCCAUAGCUGCCCCCGCAACUGUAAGUGCUGAGCAAGUCCAAUGACCACUGGCGUGAGUCGCCGGGAAGGUGGAUAAGCGAUGAUGCCGAGCCAGGAAACCUGCCCAAACUGCCAUUCAUCU
rnacentral:ncRNA from 2 species